UCUGAGUUAUCUACUGACCAAUUGAGGACAGAGAGCAGAAAAGAGAGAAGAUGCCUGAGAGUCCCCUUGUACUGAGAAGCUUAAAGAGAUGGGAAUGAUGAAGUCUCACGCUCUGAGGCAGUUGAGCCACCACUGAGCCACACCCCCAGGUACCAAGGUGUGGGGCAUCUCUGUUCCAAUGCUUGCCUCCCAUGUGCCAAGCCCCGAGUUCAAUCCGAGCGACUACAGAACAAAGCUGAAGUAGGACCUGGAGCCGGUAGUGUGGCUCACUUGGAAGAAUGCUUGCCCAGCGCCUCGUAAACCAGGCCCACACCUGUGGUCCCAGCACCUGGGAGAUGGAGAUGAGAUCAAGGUCAUUUUCAGCUACAGAUGAUUUUGAGUCCUGAUCCAGCAUGGGCUACCUGAGCUUCUGUGUCAAAGAGAAACAAAGAAACAAAAACUGAGGGCUCUCUUCACUCCUGGCCCCAGUG
rnacentral:lncRNA from 1 species